rnacentral:rRNA from 1 species
GCCGGCAGCCAAAUCACUCUGGAACUCGCAACUGGCAACCCACUGGAGCUCAGCAGGUGUGAGCCUUGCCAGUACCUGGAUGGGAGACCUCCUGGGAAAAACUAAGGUUGCUGCUGAAA